rnacentral:rRNA from 1 species
UCAAAAACAUCUUUUCUUGUUAGUUUCUGAAGUAUGGCCUGCCCGCUGACGUAUUUUGAGUUGAAGGGCCGCGGUAUUUUGACCGUGCAAAGGUAGCAUAGUCAUUAGUUCUUUAAUUGUGAUCUGGUAUGAAUGGCUUGACGAGACAUGGGCUGUCUUGGGUGUGAAUUUGUUGUUGAAUUUGGAGUUUAAGUUAAAAUUCUUAGAUGUUUUUAUGGGACGAGAAGACCCUAUAGAGUUUGACAUUUGAUUGCGUAUUUCUUGUUGUUUGUUUUGAAUUUUUGUGCAUCUCUUGUUUUGUUGGGGUGAUGGGAGGAAUUAUUAA